rnacentral:sRNA from 1 species
GAGAAAUGCGUGUGAGAGACUUAGCCCUGGGGGCUAUUUUAUUGGUACUACUCCCAAUAGCUUUGAAUUGAUAAGACGCCUUGAAGCUUCAGAAACAGAAUCAUUUGGAAAUGAAAUAUAUACUGUGAAAUUUCAGAAGAAAGGAGAUUAUCCUUUAUUUGGCUGCAAAUAUGACUUCAACUUGGAAGGUGUUGUGGAUGUUCCUGAAUUCUUGGUCUAUUUUCCAUUGCUAAAUGAGUAAGAAGUCAUUAAUCUGUUCACUCUUUUCUUUUUGUCUUAAGGGAAAGAAAAUGGGGGAAAAGCAAUAUUUAUUUUACUCUUUAUUUUAAAUAAGGGCCAAAGAAAAAGUAUAAUCUUGUUUUUUUUGUGUGUUUUUUUAAAAAAAAUAAACAAAAAAGACGAGCCUCACAUCUAGGGGAUUAUUGCCAUGGGUCUCAUAUAGCCUAACUUAGUUUUCUCUCAUUCCUGGAAUUUUUUAAUCCUAUGGGUGAAAAAGGGAACCAGUUGCCUUCAGCUUAUGGCACAAAAUGCCUGACACUGCAAAUAGCAAAAGUUUUUUUUUUUUUAGUGACUGCUGGUAACUUUGAUGAUAAACAAUGAGUCUUCAUAAAUC